rnacentral:misc_RNA from 1 species
GAUGAAGAACGUAGCAAAAUGCGAUAAGUAAUGUGAAUUGCAGAAUUCAGUGAAUCAUCGAAUCUUUGAACGCACAUUGCGCCCGCUAGUAUUCUGGCGGGCAUGCCUGUUCGAGCGUCAUUUCAACCAUCAAGCCCUGUUUAGGCUUGUGUUGGGGCCCUGCGGCUGCCGCAGCCCCCUAAAUGCAGUGGCGGGCUCGUUGUCACUCCGAGCGCAGUAGCGUAUCUCGCUCUGGGCGUGGCGGCGGGUGCUAGCCGUGAAACACCCACUAAGGUUGACCUCGGAUCAGGUAGGAAUACCCGCUGAACUUAAGCAUAUCAAUAAGCGGAGGA